GACGAACCGUGCGAACGUUGUUCGGAAUCACUGGGCUUAAAGGGCGCGUAGGCGGCUUGCCAAGUCAGUGGUGAAAUCCUGCAGCUUAACUGCAGAAGUGCCUCUGAUACUGGCGAGCUAGAGGGAGGUAGGGGUAUGUGGAACUUCUGGUGGAGCGGUGAAAUGCGUUGAUAUCAGAAGGAACGCCGGUGGCGAAAGCGACGUACUGGACCUCUUCUGACGCUGAGGCGCGAAAGCUAGGGGAGCAAACGGG
rnacentral:rRNA from 1 species